rnacentral:rRNA from 1 species
UACGGAGGGUGCGAGCGUUGUCCGGAAUCACUGGGCGUAAAGGGCGCGUAGGCGGCCUGAUAAGUAGGGGGUGAAAUCCUGAGGCCUAACCUCAGGGCUGCCUUCUAAACUGUCAGGCUCGAGCACAGUAGAGGCAGGUGGAAUUCCCGGUGUAGCGGUGGAAUGCGUAGAGAUCGGGAAGAACAUCAGUGGCGAAGGCGGCCUGCUGGGCUGUUGCUGACGCUGAGGCGCGACAGCGUGGGGGGCAAACAGG